rnacentral:rRNA from 1 species
UGAGGAAUAUUGCACAAUGGACGAAAGUCUGAUGCAGCAACGCCGCGUGGAGGAUGACGGCCCUUGGGUUGUAAACUCCUUUUUUCAGGGAAGAGUGAGGACGGUACCUGAAGAAUAAGUCACGGCUAACUACGUGCCAGCAGCCGCGGUAAUACGUAGGUGGCAAGCGUUAUCCGGAAUUACUGGGCGUAAAGCGCACGCAGGCGGUCUCUUAAGUUUGACGUGAAAGCUCCCGGCUUAACUGGGAGAGGUCGUUGAAUACUGGGGGACUUGAGGCAAUGAGAGGGGUGUAGAAUUCCCGGUGUAGUGGUGGAAUGCGUAGAUAUCGGGGGGAAUACCAGUGGCGAAAGCGGCACCCUAGCGUUGUUCUGACGCUCAUGUGCGAAAGCGUGGGGAGCGAACGGG